UUCUUCCCCCCUCUCUCAAAAUAAAUAAAUAAAUGUUAAAAAAAUAAAAGACAGAAUAGUAUAAUGGAUAGAACACUGGCUUUGAGGUCAGAAGACCUAAGACUUGUAUUAAUUAAUUAGAUGUUUUAUUAUCUUCUUGAUUGCAAGUAAUAUUUUACAAGACUAUAUCUGUCUGCCUCAAGAUGUGGAUUUAAAUCCAGCGAGGAACUAAACUAUAUUCGCUGUUGUUUUGUAAACUGCACAGAGCUUCAGCUUUUUUACACACUGUGGAACUAUUUGUGAAACAGCACAUGUUGUAUAUGCCUGUCAGUGUCUUUGAAAGGGCAUCUGUCUGCAUGCAGAGUCAAUUUCCUGGUGUUAACCUGUUGCUCCCCUCCCCCCCCCACCGCCACCAAGAGGUGGCACAUUACUUGACACAUACUAGGUUCUCUAAAGUAUAAAAUAAUUGGCAUUUUAUUUUUUAAUUCACUGAGCAUAAUUAGCUGCAUUGGGUGAAUAUUUGUUUAUAUUUAUUUUUUGGAUUAUUCUACUACAUAUCAAAUGUCACAUUUUCCCAGCUAAAGUUUAUUUUGCUUUUUGAGUAGUUAUGAUUUUGAACUAUCAAGAGUCUGGUGUUCAUAUGUAAUAUAAAAUUUAAGCAAUUUUGAUAUAUAAAUAUAAAGAAAAGUUACAGAAUUAUUAAACCUUUGCAUUAUUCACUUGCAAAAAUGUUAAUCAUGCUUCACAUAAGGUUUGAAGGAGAAUUUGGGUUGUACCAACAAUUCUUACCUUUGGCUGAAACAAGCAACUUUUGUCCUACAUUUACUAAAAAAGGUCCAUUUUGGAACAACUAUGAAGAAUAGUUUGGAAUAUGCAAACUGCAUAUGCUGUGCUGUCUUACCUGUGAUACAAAUUUUGGUCCUUAGGCAUACCAGGAUAAUUAUAAUUUUAUCAUGUAGAAAAAAUGUAUACAAGUAGCCUAAUAGUACAUGAUGUGACCGUUUUACAUUGGUGGCGAUUGUAAUCAGUAACUGUUUUGUUUUCUUGGAUCAUGUCAUUUCAAAGCUGAUUUAAGAGUUUAGAAUUUGGUAACAGAGUUGGGUCUUAAGUCUACUGCUAACCAUUUAACAACCCCAUGGAAUUAGAAUUUAUAGGCUAGGAAAAACUGGAUUAGUAUCCAGGCAUAAUUAAAAUGAACAUGCGGAGAAUCCUACUGGUAGCCACUGUUAUGGUGAUAAAUUAUAUAUUUUCCUGUUGUGGCAUUUAUGAAUUAGGAAAUGAAUUUUAUCUACUUUUUAAAGAAAUUUAUUUCAGUGGUUUUUCUUAGAAUGGAGACUUCAGCAUGAACUACUUUAUCUGUUGUGGUUUGUCAGUGUUUAGGUGCCUAUCUUUUUGUCUCUUUCAAUAAAAGGGGCUGGGAAGGGUUUUGGAAGGCCCUCAGGAUCUGGAGAGAGUAUCAGGACCAAGUCUUGGUGGGAUUUAUGGCUUGCAGAUGGUGGGAUUUGGAGGAUAGAAGCUUCUUCAGAGAUGUGAAGAGGAAGUAAGCAGGGCCAGGGAUAGAGGCAAACAUCCAUUUACUGGUAACUGAAUCUACCAUGUAUUUUUAUAUUCUUCGAUUUUGUGUCUACCUGGAAUGAUUCCUCUCCUCCUCUACUUUGUCAGCUUACAAAAAAAUAAAACAAAUUUCUUUUUUUUUGAAUUACAAAAGUAAUUCAUGUCUAUUUAAAGAAAUUAAAAAUAUGGAAGUGUAUAUUCUGAGAUAACUACUUUUUAACAUGUUAGUAUAUCACUUUCCCUUUUUCUGUGCAUAUAACAACAAAAUGUUACAUCCAUUUUCAUUGCAUAUAAAAAACACACUAAUACUUGUAGGGGUUUUUUGUUUUUUUUUUUAAUACCAAAAUGCACUAUACCAUACCUGUUGUUCUGUAUUUGCUUUUUAAAUUUAUUUUGGAGGUUUUCCAGUGAGAAUUUAUUAUUUAUCUAGUUGUUUUUAAGGGCUGUGGAGUAUUCCACUAUCUGGAUUUGCCAUAAUUUAU